AUUGAACGCUGGCGGCAGGCCUAACACAUGCAAGUCGAGCGGCAGCGGAAAGUAGCUUGCUACUUUGCCGGCGAGCGGCGGACGGGUGAGUAAUGUCUGGGAAACUGCCUGAUGGAGGGGGAUAACUACUGGAAACGGUAGCUAAUACCGCAUAACGUCGCAAGACCAAAGAGGGGGACCUUCGGGCCUCUUGCCAUCAGAUGUGCCCAGAUGGGAUUAGCUAGUAGGUGGGGUAACGGCUCACCUAGGCGACGAUCCCUAGCUGGUCUGAGAGGAUGACCAGCCAAACUGGAACUGAGACACGGUCCAGACUCCUACGGGAGGCAGCAGUGGGGAAUAUUGCACAAUGGGCGCAAGCCUGAUGCAGCCAUGCCGCGUGUAUGAAGAAGGCCUUCGGGUUGUAAAGUACUUUCAGCGGGGAGGAAGGUGCUGAGGUUAAUAACCUCAGCAAUUGACGUUACCCGCAGAAGAAGCACCGGCUAACUCCGUGCCAGCUGCCGCGGUAAAAC
rnacentral:rRNA from 1 species